CCGGGGCCGGGGCCGGGGCGAGGCCGAGCAGAGGCCGCGGCUGACCCGUCACAGCCCUGCCCUCCCCGCGGUCCGUUUCGCUGCUGCUCAUCGGCGCGAACGGUGGGCGUACGUUCUGUCACGUCGUUCCUUUCGGGUGUCUUUGACACGGUACGGGAAACGGCGGAGGCUAUCUCGUCCGACAGAUCGAACCGGUACGCGAUUUCCUACGUGUGGUGUUGCCGAUCUUCAGCUGGAGCUCAGUCCUUGAACUGGGUCCUUUAUGAUGGGCCUCAACUGCUAAGUUGGCUCAUCGCAAAUAAUAACGCGAUGCCGUAGCCGUAAAUCGUGAAAAUUAUGAGGCGUGUGAAACCAAAGCCAAGCCAGCGUCACGCACGGGGUUUGUGGGGUGAAGAAGAGCUUUCCUGUCAGAGAAAGGCAGGCUGCGCGCUGUGGAAAGUACACCUCCGCGAGUCUCCAAAGGAUGGAGGUCGUUGCUGUUACCAGUCUCUGUUAGCGGGUGUGAGGACACGGCUACAGAGUGUGAGAACAUGAAGCAUCAUGACUGCACUCAGCAGAAGCCACAAGGACUAAAGGGCCCGAGGAAAAUUUGUCCUCAUCCCACUUUGCCACAGCAAGGUCUCGCUGUGAUGAGGGAGAAGUUGGAGCCGUGGCGCAGCCUGCUUCACCUGUACUAGCUACUACUACUUGACCUCUUCUGAAGAGAGUUAAAUUUUGACAGUACAGCCGCUACAUGGCUUUAGAGACAGGAAUCUGGACCCAGAGAAAUGAAGGCUGAAACCCCCAACAUGCUCUGUUUUGCACUGGAGUUCCCAGGCCUGAGCUGGGAGCUCAGCCUUUACACUACAAGGAAAUGCGUGGAGAAAGGUAUUUACAGAAACUGAGCGGGAGCCAUCCUGGCAACACAGCGGAGCAUCCCAGGAGACGGCACUGUGCCUGAACCUAAUGCUGCUCAGAAAGGAGCUGACUUCUUUUGCCAAGAGCUGUCAGCUGUGAACUCUCCCCAGGAGUCUGGCACCUUUGCCAGGCCAUGUCUGGCUUUCCAAUGGAAAUGUUACACAGAUAACACUCCCUUGUCUCGCAUGCUCCAGUUUGGCCACUAGCCAAAUGCUUAGAGCCCUCUACUAGAAAGCUGAGGGCUAUUUUCAAAGUUGCAGUGUCAUUCAAAACAUAGAGUUCAAAGCAUGUGUCUGUAGCAUAAGCAACUAGAAAAUUGGGGUUUCUAAGGUGAGCCUCUUUCAGCUUUUUACCUUGGCAGAUACUCUGUGUAAAUGACUACUUAUAACUGAAGGGUCUUAUAUCUGAGUCACCACUGAAUGCCCUAACUAGUGUGAUGGGAAUGAAAAACUUUUUAUAAGUUUCCACUGUCCUUUCUGGGGGCCAUGAUAUGGUCUAGACACCUGCUGGAUUCGCUCCUGUAGAUGAGAAGGGGAGGUUGAUUCCUAAUUUGAGAGUGUUGCUUGGAUAUAAGCAGGAAUGAAGGUCCAGUCAGCUCUGCAGACACAGAACUGGAUUUUAAAAAACAGUGGGUAAAACCUUUUUUUAACAUCAAAGCAUUUCACUUUCAAAACAUUUCUGUUUGAAAGAACUUUUUAUUUUGAGGUUCCUUCAUGUAUAUAUAAAAGAGACUUAACUUUUAGCUAAAAAUCUAUAUAUGCCACUUCACUUGGGGUCGAGGUAUUCUUUCUAUAGUUUGAAAUUAUUGGGGUUUAUACAUUUUAGUUUACUGAUUCUGUUAGAAUGUUCUUCUAGGGAAAUGAAGUUCCAGGCUGGGCCAAAACAGUCAGCUAACCAAUGAUCCAUCCAUCUCUAUUCACAGAGAGAUACUUGGUGUCUCUGGCUGUAUCCAGCAUAAGUGCAAGUAGGAGGAGCAGAGCAAGUAAGGACGUGAAUGAGAUACUCCGCCAAAAUGCCUAUCGGAGAGUUGGUUUCUGCUACAGAUUUGCCAUCUUUCUGAAGGGAAGUUGAGAAUUUUAUCAGCACCAUUUAAGUCUCUUCCUGCAUCUAAAACAGACCAGGUGAACUGCACUCUGAAAGUGCCUAUUGUGCUGCAUAGAGAAAAAGGCAGCCUAAGUAAUGAGUGUGGGCUCAUGCUGUGACAGUAUAAAGCCAGGUCAGAUGAAUCCCACCUGCACUGUACUGUGUUCCAGACAGGGAAGGCAGAAUUGCUUAAAAAGAAUAAAACAAAUCUGGAAUUGAGGUUUUACAAAACAUGCUAGUAUGGAAUUGGAGCUGUUUUCUGUAACAAAUAGCUCCUGUUUGGGGUGGACUGUGAUUCCACCUGUCUGACAAUCCCUGAUUAUAAGGUCUAAUUCUUACCCAGCUGGAACGCUUUUUACCCAGCUCUGUGGGGGGAGUGCUGACUUCCAUUACGGUAACAAUAAACUCCCAGAGCACCUAAAGAGAGGUGGACUUCAUAGAUUUUAUUCUUAGAAUAUCAAGGAUAAAUCUUGAAUCCAUUGAAGUAAAUUAAAAACUCAUGCCAACUUCUGCUGGGCUAGGGUUUAUCCCUAGGUCUCAAAUGAACAGGGGAAAAAGAGAUUUUUGCAGACUGUGUAUCUACCUGUCAAACUCUGUUUCUUGUUUAAUUCUGAUUUUAUACUGCAGAGAUCAAGAAGCUCCAAGAAGCUUUCAGGCUUUCAGUCAGAAUGAGGCUAUUGAAAAACAUGACCUUUUAUUCAAAAGCCACUACCUGCAGUGGCUGUUGACUGCCACUGUGAAUACUGACCUCACAGCAGAGUACUCGACAUCACUGAACAGCACAGUGUUGUGUUCCCUACAGUCAUGUAGAGAAUAUAUUUACAUUCCUAUUGCCCAGUAGGGGAAAUUGCCAUCUCUCAGGGCUUACAGCACCCCCAAAGAAAGACCUUCUACUUUUAGUAACACCUGAGGCACGGGGUAUAUCUGUUCACAUUUGUACACACUAGAAUUCGCAGUAGCAUCAUAUACGGCCAUGUUCACCAUAAAACUUGCUAGCUUUGCAUUUGCAGUGCAUACUCAGACUGCUGCAUCAAAUUGAGAUGCCCUUUUAAGUCAUUCUCAUCAUUCCCAAGACCCCACAUAAGUAUUUUAAAAUUGCUCUGCAAAUAAACCUAAAGACAGAAAAUUACAGCCUGAGAUACCAAAUUAGUGAAUUGACUCAUUAGAAGACAAGUACUAGGUUCAUUCCAAGAAACCACAGCAGCUCAGCUAAAAUAAUCUGUCUGAAAUAUACUUCCAUAAGAAUCUUCAUUGAGUCUAUUAAUUAGACUUACCGAUGUUCACGCUAGUAGGGCUUUCAAGUCAAUAACAAUCUACCACUAAGUAUGGAUCCAUAGUGCGAAUAAAAUCAAAACCGGGGCCUUCUUUUGAGAGAAUCAGGGUUUAGUGCUUAAAGAGUCCAUUAAAGCAAUUAUGCCAUAGCUGCAUUAAAAGUGCAACCUUGCUUCUGAGGAUCCUUCAGCAAAUAAUGGUUGUCCCUGCCGUAGCUCCUCCAACGGCAGUUUGUGUCUGUCAGAAAGGGCUGACCUUCUUCUAAAAAACCAUAACAAAACCCAACAGCUUUUUGCAUUUAUCUAGUGCUAAUGUCUUUAUCAAUUUGGCAGUAGGAGAAUGUGUAUUAUUCACAUUUUAAAGCUGGGAAAAAUGACAGAAAAAUUAUGGUUCAGCCCAUGAUUCACAUUCAGAUCAGUGUAAGAACAGAAGUUCAGGACUUGACUAAUGUUUUUUUGCAAGAGUUCUUGAUUCUUUAUGGGCCUUUAAAAUCAGAGAUUUAAAAGUUCUUUCAACAAAACCAUGAAAAUAGUAGGAAUUAUAUAACGUGUAUAGUGACAGGUUCUAGACCGGCACAACUAUCUCUGUAGCCAUGUAGUAAAACAGAAGUGAGCUGGCUGAAAAAAAAAGCUAUUUUUUAAAUGAGGAUACUUUUCAUUCUCCAGUACAACUCAGCAGGCUCAAACAACUGAAGGUGUGUGCAGGCACGGGAACAAAGUGGGACAGGGAUGGGAGGAGGGAAGGAUGAUGUCUGUUUAAGCCACGAUUGCUGAUGAAAAAAAAAUGCAUGUUACACUAUUGCCUUAAUAUGCUGGGGUGCAGCUUCCAUUGAGAAGUACAUGUUGGAGCAGGUCCUGAAGCACAGGGUGUAACCAAAAUUUUACCCAAGAAUAACAACCAGCGGUCCCAAUCUAGGUCCCCAGUGUGCUCCUGCGUGUCAUCAGGGUGAAAGUACACCCAAGGGUCAGCCUUCAAAUGACAUGUGAUUUCUGGGUGUCAUAAUAAGGCAAUUCUGAAACAUCUUUGGAAAAGAUUAGUCAAAACAUUUCUUCGAAGGCACUUCUACUUUGACCCAAUUUGUGUGCAUACUGAAAUGCAGAAAUUACUCUUUAAAUCUGGUUUUCACUUCUGUUCAGUGGUUCAGCUGUAAACUGGACUAUGGUUAAAUUAGAAAGGAAAUGCUUAUAUCACCAGAAGCUAUGGGUAAAAAUCAGGACAUAAUCUAAUGAGUCUUUUGCAUUCCUAAUUUCUGUGGUGCACUAAAAAAGAACAACCAAGGAUGCAAAUGAAUGAAAAGAGGCAUAUCAUGAAUGAUCAUGCUUCCAUUGUUUCCUUUGUCUAGUAAGAAAAAUACCAAGGCGCAGAAAAAGUUUACCUGUUUGAUUAUACAUACAAACAAAAACAGUUCAAUUGUCAGCCUGUGUGUAGUGAAGCUAGUAUUGACCUCAGAGCUAUAUAAAUAAAAUGUGCAAAUUGCUUUA